GAUGAUGCGACACCUGCAUGAUGAGAUGAUGCGAGGUGAAUGAAGUAGGCAUUGUGAUCUAGCGGGAGGUUGCUGUUAUUUCCUUUCGCUGGGACACUCAGCAAGUUAAACGUGGACGCAGAGAUAUGCAGCAAAGAGAUGGUUUAUGUGCAAGACCCGAGAGGGAGGGAAGAACACAUCUCAAGCCCACCUCCCCACAGGCAAAGGAUUUGGGGAAUUUAUGGGAUAAAGAAUAAAGCAGCAGGUGACCAGGAGAGUGGGGAAGAGGGAUCAGAAAAAGUUUCACUGCUGUUGACCUUGGGUUGAUACAUCAGAAGAAAGAUCGUCUGCUUGACGUGGUCCUGAGUCAUCACGCCAGGAGAGCAUCAUUGGCUGAGGAUCGGAGUGGUGGGGACCUCGCGGAGGAGGCAAGAUUUCAUCACGCUGCUCAGGAGGAACCACUAUCAUGGAUGUUCCAGCAGCCCUGGACCAAGCUGGAAAAUAGCCAGUUUUUCGGAAGAGGUUUUUAGAAGACUAGAUGUAUUCAAGCAUAUUUCCAAAAAAUGCCAUUACAGUUGCCUUAACUGCUCUAUAAGACCUGGAAUCAAAGAACACUGAGAAUUAGAACACACACAUCAAGCUGUAAUACCUACUUGUGCUGAACCAUUACUACCAAAGGGAUGUUGUUUCUUAAAGAAGCAGAUGUGUGGCAAUGCAAAAUAAAAUACAAACUGGUUAGAACAGUAAACUUUGUUUCAAUGGCUAUAGAAAGGAGGUGGUUUUGUUGUGUGUUUUUUUAAAACAUCUGGUCUGGCAGCAAGAUGUAAUAUGCAUUUAGAGCAAUACAUGCCCUGAAAGCUUAUAUUUUCAGUUGUGUGCAUCACCUGAACUCAGAGCCCAGAUGAAAAAAGUAAUCACUCUCCAUACUCUCAACACCCCUCCCUCCAUAAGGUCACAAUAUUCCUAAACUCGAGAUUCUUGUUGGUGAACUAUUUUACAAUUUUUUCUCCAAUGACACUGGAUGCUUUUAG